UACGGAGGGUGCAAACGUUGCUCGGAAUCAUUGGGCGUAAAGCGCACGUAGGCGGCCUGUUAAGUCGGGUGUGAAAGCCCUGGGCUCAACCCAGGAAGUGCACUCGAAACUGGCGGGCUUGAAUAUGGAAGAGGGUCGCGGAAUUCCCGGUGUAGAGGUGAAAUUCGUAGAUAUUGGGAAGAACACCAGUGGCGAAGGCGGCUAUCUGGACCGGUACUGACGCUGAGGUGCGAAAGCGUGGGGAGCAAACAGG
rnacentral:rRNA from 1 species